AAUAAAUAAUUCGGGAGCUGAAAAGGCUGAGAGGAGAUAUGAUAUCUCGACCGAUAAACCUGAUCUGGAUAAUGCCAGCGUAGGAAGCAAAUUUUAUUAGUAA
rnacentral:ncRNA from 2 species